GAUGAAGAACGUAGCGAAAUGCGAUAAGUAAUGUGAAUUGCAGAAUUCAGUGAAUCAUCGAAUCUUUGAACGCACAUUGCGCCCGCGAGUAUUCUCGCGGGCAUGCCUGUCCGAGCGUCAUUUCAACCCUCAGGGCCCGCCUGCUUCGGCAGGCGCGGCGCUGGUGUUGGGGAUCGGCCUACCCGCCGUCCCCCAAAUACAGUGGCGGUCUCGCUGCAGCCUCCCCUGCGUAGUAGCAACACUCGCAUGCGGAGCGCGGCGCGGCCACGCCGUAAAACCCCCGACUUUCUGAACGUUGACCUCGGAUCAGGUAGGAAUACCCGCUGAACUUAAGCAUAUCAAUACGCGGAGGA
rnacentral:misc_RNA from 1 species